rnacentral:rRNA from 1 species
UACGUAGGGACCAAGCGUUGUCCGGAAUCAUUGGGCGUAAAGAGCGUGUAGGCGGCUUGUUAAGUCUUGCGUGAAAUCUCGGGGCUCAACCCCGAGCGGUCGUGAGAAACUGGCAGGCUAGAGUGCGGGAGAGGAGAGUGGAAUUCCUGGUGUAGCGGUGAAAUGCGCAGAUAUCAGGAGGAACACCGGUGGCGAAGGCGGUUCUCUGGGCCUUACCUGACGCUGAGGAGCGAAAGCGUGGGGAGCGAACGGG